rnacentral:rRNA from 1 species
GACAGAGGAGCCAAGCGUUGUCCGGAUUGACUGGGCGUAAAGCGCACGCAGGCGGCUCAGCGCGUGGGGUGUGAAAGGUGGCGGCUCAACUGCCACACGCCAUCCCCAUACGGCUGGGCUCGAGCCAUGCAGAGGUCCACGGAAUUGCCGGUGUAGUGGUGAAAUGCGUAGAUAUCAGGAGGAAUACCGGUGGUGUAGACGGCUCUCUGGACCGCCACUGACGCUGAGACACGAAAGCGUGGGUAGCAAACAGG